rnacentral:lncRNA from 1 species
AUGCUAAUAAGUAAUUAGCAGUAGCUGCUCCUUCCUCACAGGUGCUGUGGCAUUCUGUCGAUGUGGACAGACGCUGUUUCAGUUCAAGGUGUUAUCGGCUUUUCAAAGUGGAGCUUGCAGCGUCUCAGGUGUUCACAGUGCUGACCCGUUUGGACACGGCAUUAAUGACUCGGUCCAAACUCUGGAAGCUGGAACUCACUUAAAGGCUGAUCUACAAACAAGCAAAUCAACAACCAGUAAGACAGAGGUGUUCUAUAUUAUCUAACUCUUGGUUUUUCUUGGCUGCUAUGCCAAAUCUUUUCUUUUUAACAACUUUUCUUUAAUUUUCUCAUUUAUGAUCUUGAUUGUCUUUAUAAUGUAAAUAAAAUCAUCCUAAAAAUGUAUCA